GUAAGAUCCUGUCUCAAAAUUUAAAAAAAAAUUAAGCUGGGCAUGGUGGUGUAUGCCUGUAAUCUUAGUGACUCCAGAGGCUGAGUGAGGCAGGAGGAUUGCAAGUACAAAGCCAGCCUCAGCAACUUAGCAAGGCCCCAUGGAACUUAGCGAGAUCUUGUCUCCAAGUAGUAUUAGUAGCAGCAGCAGCAGCAGCAGCAGUAGUAGUAAUCAUAAAAAACAACAUAGAAAGGACUGGGGAUGUCGUGGCUCAGUGGUAAAGUACCCCUGGCUUCAAUCUCCAGUAUCACUCAACCAAGCAGUCAACCAAUCAAUCAAUAAAAAAUAAAGAAAGGGUUGGAGAUGUAGCUGAGAAUUAGAGCACCUCUGUGAUUAAUUCCCCAGUACUGCCAAAACAAACACCAAAACAAAACAAAAGCAAAC
rnacentral:lncRNA from 1 species